GCAGACCUAGGAAGGCAAGGCCAAUCAAGCCUGUGAGGAGACUGCACUUUGCAUCAGUGAAGCUCCACAUGGAUUCAGGUUGCUCUGUCCUGAUGGCCAAUGCACCUGCUUCCACAGAUCACAGCCAGUAAACAUCAUGGUCAUGGCCAAAGGUGGGUUCAUGUCAUUCUACAACUGUCCAUUCCCACAGAAUGUGAAUCAUCAAGAGUAAAGAUUAAAGUAAGCCGCAGACUCUAGGUGACAAUGAUGUGGGUUUCUGAACUGGAACAAAUGUGCCUCUCUUGUGGGUAGUGAUGGUGACAGAGGCAGAGGCUGGGCAGGGAUGGGAGCAUUUGGGAAAUCUCUGUUCUUCCCCUCAAUUUUGAGCUUAAAAAUGUUCUAAAAAGUUAUCAAGUAAAAAACAAGAGGAGGAAGAAGUGUUCUUUGUCACUCUGCACUGGGAGAGGCUGAGGGCAGGCAACCAGAGCUUGGGGCAAACAGACCCAGCACCUCCUUCCCAACCUGCCUCUCUCCAAGCUCAGCACAGCAUGGUCUUCAAGGGGCUUUGGGGUCU
rnacentral:lncRNA from 1 species